AGGUGGUUGCAAACCAUUAUGGAGUGAGCCAAGCUUCUACCUUACUGCAAGACUGAAGGUUGAGACUAUACAACAUUAUUGGUGUUAGAGUUUCACUUUUGGUCUUAGUAUUUUAUUUUUCCUCUUAAGUUGUAACUUUUAUAAGUGAAAAUUUACAAUUUUUGUUCGACUCUUCCGUGCAAUUUAUUUCAACAAUUGUGUAAAUUGGCAUUAUGUUUCCUUUUCAAUCCCAUUGAGGUCCAGCAUCUUUGUUUACUGACAAUGUUAAAAUUUAGAUACAUCUUGAAUAUCAAGAAUGAUUAAUGUAAUUUAUGAAAGAUAUUUGAUUGAAUGA